rnacentral:lncRNA from 1 species
GAGAGAGAGAGAGAGAGAGAGAGAGAGAGAAACAGAGACACAGAGACACCUGCUCUGCUGAUCACACUGCUGUCUGGCAGUCAGUCAGCAAACCAUCCUCCCUAGAGUUCCUCCUUACUCUUGGGGAAGCUGCAGGUCUGGCAGGGGGGUGUUCUCAGCUCAGUUACCUGGAUCCUUCCCAGGCUCCUGCUCUGGUGUACCCCCAUGAGCCUAAGAGGCUUCCCCUUACCGCUCUUCCUGUGUCGACCAACCGGGGACUCUGCAGCUACCAGCAGCUGUCACGGGGAACAUCAAAGAGGAUGUUUAUGCCAAGCCCCGUUUACACAAGCUACCUCUCCCCCAAGAGAUGAAAGCUUAAAACAAACAGUGCUUCCAUAUGCUAGGAGCAUAGGCGCAUCAGCACUGGGGAUCCCCAGAUGGAAACAUGAGUCAGGCUGGGGCAGAUGCCUAAGUAAAUCGCAUUUGGGUGAAAUUCCUCUCUGGAGCAGGAAAAAGCUCUGAGCAAUUGCACAGGUUCCCCUAAAGAUGGCAAGCUCUCCACAGUGGUCCAGACCCCGGACUCAGCAUCAUCUGACAGGCGCUUAACUCAUCUCAGCAUCCACACCCGCUCUCACUCCAUCAGGGGUAUCUAUUGGGCGUUGUGGGAGGGCGGGUUGUGUGCCCAAUAAGCAUUUCCUGAAGCCCCUGAGACUUCAGGCUCUGAUCUCCAAAUACAUAGGCACCUGCGGGUGCGCACAAAGGUGUUUGAGGACAGAGGGGGCAUGAACCUGGAACACACAGUUUGCCCAAAGACACAGGCCGCCGAGGUCUUUUCAAAGGAGCAAUCUGGCCACUGAGAAAAUCACAGCAAGGGAAGCUCGAGUGUCCCAGGGUCACUGCCUCCUCCUCCUCCUUUAAUCCUGCCCCCAGAGACUGUAAGAGAGAGAAAUUCACGACCCAACGUGAGCUACACUCGGUCUACAUUGCUUCCAGGACGGGGCAGAAAGGAGCAGGCAAGAGAGC